rnacentral:sRNA from 1 species
AAAUAAGGAAACUAAACCGUAGACAGCGGGGGCUAAGGCUUAAUAAACCCGCCGAGGUACAAUAUAUAAAUAUUGGCCUUGCACACUGCGCAGGGCUUUUUAUAUUC